rnacentral:rRNA from 1 species
CUCAGAUCACGUAAUUAUUUAAUAGUCGAACAGACUAAAAUUUCUAACUUCUUCACCAAAAAUUAAAAUUAAUUCAACAUCGAGGUCACAAACUUAAUUAUUAAUAAGAACUUGCUAAUUAAAUAAUGCUGUUAUCCCUAGAGUAACUUUUUAAUAAAACAUUUUUUAAAAUAAAAAUUUAUCUCUUCAACUUAAUUACCCCAAUCAAAAAUUCCUUCAAUCUCAAGCUUCUAGGGUCUUCUCGUCCCAGAAAUUUAUAAAAGCAUUUUUACUUUUAAUUUAAAUUCAAAAUUAUUAAAUAAAACUUUCUUCUUAGUUUUCACCUUUCAUACCAGAUUUCAAUUAAAAAC